UCAAAGGUUCCUCUUGGAACUCCAGCAUAUUUAUUAUAACCGUUUGU
rfam:Ixodes scapularis strain Wikel colony gcontig_1107728825780, whole genome shotgun sequence.